rnacentral:rRNA from 1 species
CCUACGGGUGGCAGCAGUGAGGAAUAUUGGUCAAUGGGCGCGAGCCUGAACCAGCCAAGUAGCGUGAAGGAUGACUGCCCUACGGGUUGUAAACUUCUUUUAUAAGGGAAUAAAGUGAGGCACGUGAGCUUCUUUGUAUGUACCUUAUGAAUAAGGAUCGGCUAACUCCGUGCCAGCAGCCGCGGUAAUACGGAGGAUUCGAGCGUUAUCCGGAUUUAUUGGGUUUAAAGGGUGCGUAGAUGGGUUGUUAAGUCAGUGGUGAAAGUCUGCGGCUCAACCAUGGAAUUGCAAUUGAUACUGGCAGUCUUGAGUGCAGUUGAGGUAGGCGGAAUUCAUGGUGUAGCGGUGAAAUGCUUAGAUAUCACGAAGAACUCCGAUUGCGAAGGCAGCUUACUAAGCUGCCACUGACAUUGAUGCUCGAAAGUGUGGGUAUCAAACAGGAUUAGAUACCCUUGUAGUC